CGGAGGAUCCAAGCGUUAUCCGGAAUCAUUGGGUUUAAAGGGUCCGUAGGCGGUUUGGUAAGUCAGUGGUGAAAGCCCUUCGCUCAACGGAGGAACGGCCAUUGAUACUGCCAGACUUGAAUUACUGGGAAGUAACUAGAAUAUGUAGUGUAGCGGUGAAAUGCUUAGAUAUUACAUGGAAUACCAAUUGCGAAGGCAGGUUACUACCGGUGGAUUGACGCUGAUGGACGAAAGCGUGGGGAGCGAACAGGAUUAGAUACCCUGGUAGUCCACGCCGUAAACGAUGGAUACUAGCUGUUGGGCGCAAGUUCAGUGGCUAAGCGAAAGUGAUAAGUAUCCCACCUGGGGAGUACGUUCGCAAGAAUG
rnacentral:rRNA from 1 species